rnacentral:lncRNA from 1 species
CCUGAAGAGCAAUAAGUCUUUUUCAAGCGAAAAUCAUUAGUACCCCUUCAAAUACUUUGUAAUCAUCAAAAUCAAUCUAAGGAGCAACAAUCUCCCCCUUUUUGAUGAUGACAAAACACUUGAAUGAAAGCAUAUAUAUGAAACAAUGAGCAUGAAUUUCAAAGAAAUGAAAUGCAUUAUAGGUAGUUUGAAGAUAAAUAAAAAAUUUACUACCCAC